UACAGAGGGGGCCAGCGUUAUUCGGAAUUACUGGGCGUAAAGCGCGUGUAGGCGGCCCUGCAAGUCGGGUGUGAAAUCCCACGGCUCAACCGUGGAAGUGCACUCGAAACUGCAGGGCUAGAGUCCUGGAGAGGAAGGUGGAAUGCUUGGUGUAGAGGUGAAAUUCGUAGAUAUCAAGCGGAACACCGGUGGCGAAGGCGGCCUUCUGGACAGUGACUGACGCUGAGACGCGAAAGCGUGGGGAGCAAACAGG
rnacentral:rRNA from 1 species